rnacentral:rRNA from 1 species
AGUGCGGAAUUUUAGAUAAUGGAGGGAACUCUGAUCUAGCGACGCCGCGUGCAGGAAGAAGGUCUUCGGAUUGUAAACUGCUGUGGUAAGGGAAAAAUGCUAUGUAGAGUGGAAAGCUACAUAGAGGGAUGGUACCUUACUAGAAAGCCCCGGCUAACUACGUGCCAGCAGCCGCGGUAAUACGUAGGGGGCGAGCGUUACCCGGAAUCACUGGGCGUAAAGGGAGCGUAGGUGGCCUAACAUGUCAACUGUGAAAACCCGGAGCUCAACUCCGGACUUGCAGUUGAAACUGGUAGGCUUGAGGACGGUAGAGGAAGACGGAACUGCCAGUGUAGGGGUAAAAUCCUUAGAUAUUGGCAGGAACGCCGGUGACGAAGGUGGUUUUCUGGGCCGGUUCUGACACUGAUGCUCGAAAGCCAGGGGAGCGAACGGGAUUAGAUACCCCGGUAGUCCUGGCCCUAAACGAUGUUCACUAGGUGUGGGGAGCGGAAAGCUCUCCGUGCUAAAGCUAACGCGAUAAGUGAACCGCCUGGGGAGUACGCCCGCCAAGGGUGAAACUCAAAGGAAUUGACGGGGACCCGCACAAGCGGUGGAGCGUGUGUUUAAUUCGAUGCUAAGCGAAGGACCUUACCAAGGUUUGACAUGCUAAUGGUAGUGAAUUGAAAGAGGAACGACCACACUAUGUGUGGAGUUAGCACAGGUGGUGCACGGCCGUCGUCAGCUCGUGUCGUGAGGUGUUGGGUUAAGUCCCGCAACGAGCGCAACCCCUGCUCUUAGUUACCAGCGGUAAGGCCGGGUACUCUAAGAGGACCGCCGCCGACGAGGCGGAGGAAGGGGGGGAUGAAGUCAGGUAUCGUGCCCCUUAUAUCUUGGGCGACACACGCGCUACAAUGGGUUGGACAGAAGGGACCAAGACAGCGAUGUGGAGGAAAUCCUCAAACCAGCCCCCAGUUCAGAUUGCAGGCUGAAACCCGCCUGCAUGAAGCCGGAAUCGCUAGUAAUCGCAGAUCAGCCAAGCUGCGGUGAAUACGUUCCCGGGUCUUGUACACACCGCCCGUCAAGCCACCCGAGUUGGUAACACCUGAAGAUGAGUAUCCUAACCGAAAGGAGGGAGCUUGUUUAGGGUGGGAUCGGCAAGGGGGGCU